AUCACUUCCAGGAAACGUUCCGUAUAGAAAUGAAGUCGUUGUGCAAACGUAAGCUAGGAGCGUCUCAAGAACGGGACGUUUCCUUAAAAGAUGAUGACACUUCCCUCAAGUGUCUCGUGAACUUUCUGAGAUUUCAUUGCUGCUAUAAAAAAAAGAACAAAGAGGUCACAGAAAAACUUGCGAAUAUACUGUAUUCGACCAGGAACACAGGCUACAAUACGUAAGCCCUACCAUGGCGACUUGUUCCAGCCCAACGAAAUCCAUCGCCGACGCAAUGCUUUCAGUGGUAGUCAUCAUGGAUACUAAAGCGAAGCAGGAAACGACAGAUGUCGUAAGAAAUAAAUACCCUUAAUACUGCUAUAUACACACAUAGAUGAAAAAGUGCAGACGUAGAAGAGCUCCCUUAGUCGUUGGGAUAGUUCAGCUGGAUGGGUGCUGGACAAACUGCCUCUAGGAAGGUUUUAUCAGGCUGAUGGAGAGGUACCGAAGUAAAAUCACGAUUUAGCAAGCUAACUUAGCAACUGCCCAGCGUAGCUGUUUGUUUGCUGGGGUUGGUUGAGCUCUUAAGCGCUACACACCGCUUACUUCGAAUGCAAGAUCCUGCGUAUCAUCCGUCGUUUAACUUGCCAGAGAUGGCGUAAAGUUCAUUCUCGCUUCCGACUAAAUAGGCGAUAGCGUCGGCGGUGACGGCAACAGAUGACGGACCCUUAACAGUAAAAGUGGUGUUGUGUGGAGUAUUUACGAGGUAAAAGGGCAGGCAAUAACGGGACAGAAGCGGACUCGGGGUUGGACAAGGUGGUGCUUUCGUGUCCUACAUCGUAAGGUGGCGGAUUUUGCUCGAGGCGAACAUGACAUAUCCUUCUGUUGCAUAAUCAUAAGACGAUGGAAAGUUGUAAAAUUACCAAUAAGAAGGCGGGAUGAAAGGGAAUCGAGAUAACUACAGAAAACGUUUAACACUACCUGUCAACCGAUUUCGCUUAGUAUCACAAAUUUAGUAUUGAUCAUAUCUCCUUGAUUGCUGGAGAGCGUAAAUAGACUAUUCCGCACCGAAAGAAUCAGCGUUGAAUAUGUUGGCAGGAUAGUUUUGAAUCCUGUUAUCACGAUAGCUACGAUUUACCCAUUUUUUCUGUCCAUAGCGAUAUUUCAGGUGUCUAGACUGUGUCGUAUCUUUUCAGGAUGUAGCCUUAUAUUAGACUGCGUUCGCAAAGCUAUACAGAUCGGUUUCUGAUCCUCCGGUUAACUAGGUAAGCAGCUGUUCGACCAGGUGCGUUGUGGUUCGUUUGUUAUGGUCGAAGAGGCCAGGCUAGUGAAGGAGUGGUUUUCCAAUGGCGGAAGUCGUCUGUCUGCCUUCAGUUCGGGCUGCGGUACAAGGAGCUACAGCUAUACAGGCAAAAUAGAAAGUGUGUAAAGUGCUGCGUACUCUGUUGAUUUAGCGAGC